CGGAUCCCCGGUGCCCAGGCGGCCUGGCUCUGGUCGCCGCCGCCGGGGUCCGGGCUGCCGACAGCCCCUCCCCGGGACCGCCGAGCCGUUCGCGCCUCGCCCGGGGGCCCUCGGGGAGCUUUCCCCGCCGCGCCCGCCGUAUCGCUCCCAGAAUCUCAGCGAGUUUCCAGUUUCUCCCCACCUCGGGAGGGAACCAAGAAGCAGGAGUUCAGCUUCAUGGAAUUUUUGUUGGAGUAUACACACCUCCCUGGAGCCGACUAUCAGCCUGGGUAGCCCACUUGACCUCAGCGCUAGGGGAAGCCAGCUCCAGAUAAAGAAAGCUCCUCCAUCAAAAAUGACAGCAUAGAGAAGACUAGAAACCCAGUUCUUCCUGGCAUCACUGAACCACUGAAUCAAAUCAACUCUGGGGGCGCCUGGGUGGCUCAUUCGUUGAGUGUCUGCCUUCGGCUCAGGUCAUGAUCCCAGGGUCCUGGGAUGGAGCCCGGCGUCGGGCUCCCUCCUCGGCGGGAAGCCUGCU